UACGGGGGGAGCAAGCGUUGUUCGGAUUUACUGGGCGUAAAGGGCGCGUAGGCGGCCACCGCAAGUCGGUUGUGAAAUCUCUGGGCUUAACCCAGAAAGGUCAACCGAUACUGCGGGGCUAGAGUGCAGAAGGGGCAACUGGAAUUCCUGGUGUAGCGGUGAAAUGCGUAGAUAUCGUAAGGAAGACCAGUGGCGAAGGCGGGUCUCUGGACAGUUCCUGACGCUGAGGCACGAAGGCCAGGGGAGCAAACGGG
rnacentral:rRNA from 1 species